UGUGCCAUUUAAAUGCUGUGUAACUGGUUGUCGGGAAAAUUAUAAAGGUACUGAAAAGGUGCAUACAUUUUCCUUUCCCAAAAAUGAUGCUCUUAGAGAGAGGUGGCUAAGAAAUAUACCUAGGAAGGACUUCUCAGCAACUCCAUAUUCUCGGGUGUGCCAUAAACAUUUUCAACCUGAUGACCUCAUCUGGGAAACAUCAGCUUUCGAU